AUGGGGCACCUGGUGUCGAUUUGCAGUACCUUUUUUCCGUGGGAAUGUGUUGCUCCUACGUGCGCGUUUCAGGCCAAGGGCCAGGGGUUCUUCUAUAUUCCUGAUUCUUGUACCGCUAAGCAGCUUAAGGAGAGAUCUAUGAGUGUAGUGAUUACUGUUAUUGACGGAGAGGCGAGUGUCAAGGAGCUGGAAGAUGCAUUUUCCGAUUACAUCAGGACAAAAUGGCACUGCACAGCACGUCCUAUAGGCCCUAACUCUUAUGUCAUGCGUUUUCCUAAUCAACGGGAUGUGAAGAAAGCUUGCUAUAAUGAUAAGAUGACUCUUAGAUCUUGUGGUGUUGUGGUUAAGAUCGUUCCCUGA
rnacentral:rRNA from 1 species